GAUGAAGAACGUAGCAAAAUGCGAUAAGUAAUGUGAAUUGCAGAAUUCAGUGAAUCAUCGAAUCUUUGAACGCACAUUGCGCCCGCCAGUAUUCUGGCGGGCAUGCCUGUUCGAGCGUCAUUUCAACCCUCAAGCACAGCUUGGUGUUGGGACUCGCGUUAAUUCGCGUUCCCCAAAUUGAUUGGCGGUCACGUCGAGCUUCCAUAGCGUAGUAGUAAAACCCUCGUUACUGGUAAUCGUCGCGGCCACGCCGUUAAACCCCAACUUCUGAAUGUUGACCUCGGAUCAGGUAGGAAUACCUGCUGAACUUAAGCAUAUCAAUAAGCGGAGGA
rnacentral:misc_RNA from 1 species